GAUGAACGCUGGCGGCGUGCCUAAUACAUGCAAGUCGAGCGAACAGACGAGGAGCUUGCUCCUCUGACGUUAGCGGCGGACGGGUGAGUAACACGUGGAUAACCUACCUAUAAGACUGGGAUAACUUCGGGAAACCGGAGCUAAUACCGGAUAAUAUAUUUAACCGCAUGGUUCAAUAGUGAAAGACGGUUUUGCUGUCACUUAUAGAUGGAUCCGCGCCGCAUUAGCUAGUUGGUAAGGUAACGGCUUACCAAGGCAACGAUGCGUAGCCGACCUGAGAGGGUGAUCGGCCACACUGGAACUGAGACACGGUCCAGACUCCUACGGGAGGCAGCAGUAGGGAAUCUUCCGCAAUGGGCGAAAGCUUGACGGAGCAAAGCCGCGUGAGUGAUGAAGGUCUUCGGAUCGUAAAACUCUGUUAUUAGGGAAGAACAAAUGUGUAAGUAACUAUGCACGUCUUGACGGUACCUAAUCAGAAAGCCACGGCUAACUACGUG
rnacentral:rRNA from 1 species